rnacentral:rRNA from 1 species
UAUGGCCUCAAAUCAGGUAGGAUUACCCGCUGAACUUAAGCAUAUCAA